UUGGACUAACUGAAAACAAUUAAACAACAAAAAAUUCAGUCACAUCUCUUUUCUCCUCUCCGGUUAGUAGGCCAAAAAGUGAAAUUUCAUAGUGUGGAAUGGAAAUUUGGUUAGCUUAUUUGCCUUUUUUUUUUUCAAGAAGAAAAAGUAGUGAAAAGGGAUUUUCUGGUUUCAUUCACAACAUGCCAAAUUUACUUUCUUGAAAAGCAAAAUUCUUUUUUUCUGAACAGAAUGCUUGAAAAUUUGAAUAAUGUAGUUUUGUUAGCCAUGAUUGAGAGUCCCUAGAAUUCUCAUCCAAAAUAUGAUGCAGAAUUUCCACAUUGGGCACAGAAUUGAAAUACUCUUGGUUUGCUUUUUGCUUACAUUUUUCAGUUGAUUUAAAACUUAACUUCCCUCUUCCUUCUCUCUUCUACUCACCAGAAAACAAUGUCAAAACUGUGUUCUCAUCUGUGUCCUUGUUCCUUUCAAGGAUGAGAAAUUGCAAAACAUCUUUGCAACUAUUGUUCAAGUUCUCCAGGAGAUGCCCCUGAGAGCAGAAGCAAGAUGCUAUCUUUUGAGAUUUUGGAGGUGCUAGUAACCUGCAGGCCUUCUCACUUGACAUCUGGUACUGAUGAUGACUGCCAAGCCUUCAAAUUUUGGGGAAGGGGAGCUGUAAUAAAAUUCGAAGAUAUACAAAAAUCUGGGCUCCUGAAGGACUAAUAGCUGAUUAGUGAGCCAGUGACUAUAACGACCCCACAUCACUCACUUUGUUCACACUAUACCCCUUGGUAUCUGUCACUAUAUAGAUGGCCAAGAUGAAAUAAUUUCUGCUUUUAAAUCUUCCUUUUUCAUUUAAUUCUUAAACUCUUACUUGGUUUAUAGGUUAAGCUUUGGCUUACCUCAUUUAAUGCCAGUUGAGAAUGGGAAAUAAAUUCAAAUAGGAUUGGAAAUGUUGACUUUGGAGUCUAAAUCAAAAGAAAAUAUUGUGAGCCACUGUGAAGUGAAUAGAUGGGCAUCCUUAUACUAAAUGGCUUUUUUUGCUUCUUUCUGUGGAGGUGACCCUGGAUUGUUGAUUGCUAUGCCUUUGGAGCGUGAGCUUUGGUAAAUUGGGUGAAGAGGUUUCCAGUGUGGCUUGGUGACAGAUUGUGUAUGUCUCUCUGAGUUUAGCUAAGUUUAGAGUAGUUAAAUCUCUUCCAGCUUGGUUUAAGGAGGAAUUUUUUGGCCACUGCAAUUUCCAAAGACUGUGUACUAAAUUGUAAUGUGGUUAUGAUCUAUAUUGAUGGAGGUAGUAACCAUGAUGAUGAAAUCUUGGGUCCUUUCAGUAUAGGUUAAUUUUGGAAUGCAGUUUCUGUGUAAGUUUUAGUAUGAAACUUGAGCAUUGAAUUAUGAAAGAAUGAUUUGUCUUCUGAAUGGGAAGCCUAGAAGGGGAGGCAUUCUACUCUUAGUGGAAAGAGCAUUAGCUUUUGAGUUGGAGGACCUGGAUUCUAGUUCUGGCUCUGCUAUUUAGUGCUUAUGUGACCGUAUGCAGGUACUUAACCCUCUGGCCUUACUUUUACUUAUCUGUAAAAUGAAGGGCUUGGGCUUGGACUACCACCAGAUCAUUGGUUCAAACCAGUGAUCUACACGUACAAAUUAUAUGAACUACACUUUCAGAGGGUCGCUGAGGUCAAAAUACUAAAAGGUAAUUUGUGUAUUAAAAUACACCACAUUUUCUAAUUAUGUAUCCUUAUGAAGCCAGAUUUUCUUCAUAUACCUUCAAACAUGUCACAACAGAUUGAAUGCAGAAGCAGAAUCUCACUGUCCUCUAUUACACCAGACAUUAAAGAGAUUUGCAAAAAAUAUGUUAAAUCUGACACU